rnacentral:rRNA from 1 species
CUUAGUGGCGAACGGGUGAGUAACACGUUGGUACCUACCCUCUAGUGGGGAAUAACUGCCCGAAAGGGUGGCUAAUACCGCAUAAUCCCGCAAGGGUAAAGCAGUAAUGCGCUAGAGGAGGGGCCUGCGUCUGAUUAGCUAGUUGGUGAGGUAAUUGCUCACCAAGGCGACGAUCAGUAGCUGGAUCGAGAGGUUGACCAGCCACACUGGGACUGAGAUACGGCCCAG